GAUGAACGCUAGCGGCAGGCUUAAUACAUGCAAGUCGAGGGACAGCACAGGUAGCAAUACUGGGUGGUAACCGGCAAACGGGUGCGGAACACGUACACAACCUUCCUUUAAGUGGGGGAUAGCCCAGAGAAAUUUGGAUUAAUACCCCGUAAUAUAGUUGAAUGGCAUCAUUUGAUUAUUAUAGCUACGGCGCUUAAUGAUGGGUGUGCGGCUGAUUAGAUAGUUGGCGGGGUAACGGCCCACCAAGUCUACGAUCAGUAGCGGAUGUGAGAGCAUGAUCAGCCACACGGGCACUGAGACACGGGCCCGACUCCUACGGGAGGCAGCAGUAAGGAAUAUUGGUCAAUGGACGCAAGUCUGAACCAGCCAUGCCGCGUGAAGGAUUAAGGUCCUCUGCAUUGUAAACUUCUUUUAUUUGGGACGAAAAAGGGCCUUUCUAGGUCAACUGACGGUACCAGAUGAAUAAGCACCGGCUAACUCCGUGCCAGCCGCCGCAGUAACAC
rnacentral:rRNA from 1 species